rnacentral:rRNA from 1 species
GGUGAACGCUGGCGGUAGGCCUAACACAUGCAAGUCGAACGGCAGCACAGUAAGAGCUUGCUCUUACGGGUGGCGAGUGGCGGACAGGUGAGGAAUACAUCGGAAUCUACUUUUUCGUGGGGGAUAACGUAGGGAAACUUACGCUAAUACCGCAUACGACCUACGGGUGAAAGCAGGGGAUCUUCGGACCUUGCGCGAUUGAAUGAGCCGAUGUCGGAUUAGCUAGUUGGCGGGGUAAAGGCCCACCAAGGCGACGAUCCGUAGCUGGUCUGAGAGGAUGAUCAGCCACACUGGAACUGAGACACGGUCCAGACUCCUACGGGAGGCAGCAGUGGGGAAUAUUGGACAAUGGGCGCAAGCCUGAUCCAGCCAUACCGCGUGGGUGAAGAAGGCCUUCGGGUUGUAAAGCCCUUUUGUUGGGAAAGAAAAGCAGCAGGUUAAUACCCCGCUGUUCUGACGGUACCCAAAGAAUAAGCACCGGCUAACUUCGUG